rnacentral:rRNA from 1 species
GAUGAACGCUGGCGGCGUGCCUAAUACAUGCAAGUCGAGCGAACAGACGAGGAGCUUGCUCCUCUGACGUUAGCGGCGGACGGGUGAGUAACACGUGGAUAACCUACCUAUAAGACUGGGAUAACUUCGGGAAACCGGAGCUAAUACCGGAUAAUAUAUUGAACCGCAUGGUUCAAUAGUGAAAGACGGUUUUGCUGUCACUUAUAGAUGGAUCCGCGCCGCAUUAGCUAGUUGGUAAGGUAACGGCUUACCAAGGCGACGAUGCGUAGCCGACCUGAGAGGGUGAUCGGCCACACUGGAACUGAGACACGGUCCAGACUCCUACGGGAGGCAGCAGUAGGGAAUCUUCCGCAAUGGGCGAAAGCUUGACGGAGCAAAGCCGCGUGAGAGAUGAAGGUCUUCGGAUCGUAAAACUCUGUUAUUAGGGAAGAACAAAUGUGUAAGUAACUAUGCACGUCUUGACGGUACCUAAUCAGAAAGCCACGGCUAACUACGUG